rnacentral:lncRNA from 1 species
GCAACUUUGUUGGGAGCUUUACUCAAAAUCCUUACUUGUAUGAUGAGUAACCCAUAUGGUCUCGACUCUCGUUCACGUGGAUGGUUAAAUAUAUUGAUAAACGUAUGACUCUAAGACGUGGAUCAAUCAAGGAACAUUAAAGUGUGAUGGACUCUUUUUGCUUGAACUGGUUUAAAAUGUUGUUCAUGGAUCGAGGAACCUCUUGAUGUUGCCCCCGUUUGGUUCUGAUUUUUGAAGC